UCCAGGAUAGCUCUUUUUCUUCUAAUUUUAUGUUUUAUAAAUAAAUUCAUUUAAAAUCUGGGUAUAGUUUUAGUAAAACUUUAACCUAGAGUGUACUUGUUAUUUCUGAUCCCAAUUACCAACUCUACAAAUUCUGUUCCUUUGUUUUAACUCAGGUACCAUCUUAGUUUGGCUUCUACCAAAAGUAGCCCCUGAGGCAAGCACUUGGGUACAAGUGGUUUCAGAGGUGAUACCAGGAAGUGUAGUGAGGCAGUGAGACAGGGAAGAGAAGAAAAGGUAGCAAGUAUAUUAACAAGUGAGCUCCCACCAUGGACAGCCAGGGCGUCAGCUCAAUGUAUAGAACAUACCUUACAGUUGUCUCACCAAAGGCCAAGGGAGCUGGGGUAUCUAUCCAGAAACUCCCACUCCUGAUCAGAUGAUGAUUGCUGCUGGGAACAUUAACUCCCUGGCACUUUCAGCCUGCCCUGUGCAUGGGCAGAGUCUCCUCCUGAUGCUCCUGCCCCAGGAGAUCCAGAUGUUUGAGAUAGGAAGCCAUUGGCCUGUACAGGGCUUGUUCCAGUGAAGUGGCAUCUAACUUUGAGGUGGGCUGAGGGGGGUGUGGCUGGAGCACCCACAACAUCUUCUAGAUCUUCUUGCGUUCCACAUUAAAUUCAUUUGAUUUUAUAAGCUGCAGUUUUCCCCCAAGAAUGUAACUGAUAAUCAUUAUCACCCUCCUCUAUCACCAUUUGAGAUUUCUUCAUCUUUGGUCAGAAUUCUGCUGACCUAGGGAACUUGCCCAAUGGAAUGAUCCCAGAUCUUCAUCCCUGAGGGUCUUUGGUUACAGUGUCCUUAUCAGGCCAUCGUUGCUAUAGGUAUCAUCAUGCAGGGAAGCACUAAGAGAUGCCCCAGUGAAUAUUCCUCCUGCACUCCUCUUUUUUUUUUUUUUUUUUGUAGCAGCAAUCUUAGUCACUCAUGAUGAUUGGAGUCAGUUAUUCUUUUUAGUAUAUUAACUUCUUUUUUUUCUCACUACUGGUCUAUCAGUAUGAGGAACCCAAAUUAAACAAAUGGUAAAUGUAAUUUUAGGUUUGAUGGAAACUUUACUAUGUGCUUUGGUUAAGGCAUCUCAUUCCCACCUUUUCAAGGAAGCAGGACCUCUAAUUCAUCAGAGGGUAGUGUUUUAGGGACCAGAAGUGUAUUUCCCAGGUAGGUCCCUGGAAUUGAUGGUUAAGAAAAAAAAUUGCCCUUGGUUUCCAGACCUAUCUUCUAGCUAUGGAGGACAGCACAAUAUGAUGGCAUUUGGCUCAACAUAGAUAUAUCAUUAUCAAACAUGAAUACCACCAAUCCAGAAAGGUGUUAUCUUCAAGCCAGAUGCCAUGUCUAUUUUACAUUAGGCCAGCAGCUUCCAGGUGAAGUGCUGUCUUAUAGAGUCAGUGGACACAUGCUCACUUAUUAACCUUAAAUUGUUAACAUGUACCUUGUUAACCAUAAAUUGGGUUCUUUGAUGUGAGGAGUUAGUAUAUUGGCUCCUUUGUUGGUACCUCAGACAUUCUUUGUGCCUUCAGAUAAUGGUACUGGCAGAGGUACUGUGUCCUGGGAAGGCAAGCCUAUUCCUAGAAUAAAUUAUCACUCUCAUAUAGGAAGAAUUGCUGCCCUCUCCAGGAUGGAAGGAUUUGAUGUAAUCAACUUGCUGCCAUGUGGCUUGUUGGUCUUCUUCAUGGGGGUCCCUUGUCAGUUUUUGCUGCUGACAGGAGGAAGAUCAGCAUGGUGAGAGGAGGUCUGUGUGGUUGAUCCUAUACAUUAGCCGCUAUCUCUGCCACCAGAGCUACUCUGUUCAUGGACCCAUUCAUUCUGCAAGCACUGGGGAGGCCAAUGAAGAAGCUGGCUGAUACCCACUGUGUGAGUCAUCUGUCCAACAGAUUGUUCUUUACCUCCUCUGAGGCAGAUGGGCACUUGGUAGACACCAACACGAAAAAGAAAAGAGAAAUAUGCACACUUUAUGACUGCUGCUAAUAGUCUAUCCACAUGCUUCUUACCCAGACUUUCUGGUCUUCAGUGUUCUUGCUUUUUCCAGAUCCCUAACCAAUCAACCAAGUCAUUUGCAACUGCCCAUGAGUUUAUCCUUCUCUCAGGCCAUUUACCCCUUUACACAAUGUCAGUGACCAAAUUAAAAGCUCUGCAUGCUGGGAAGAUUUCCCGUCAUGCCUAUCUUUCAAGGCUACACUUGAAUGUGACUAAUGCAGCAUCAGUCUCUUUUCUGCUCAUACCAUCAUGCGUAUUGAGCUGACCUGCCUGUGAACCAUGCCUGAGUAUUUUCCUCUUCCCCUUAUCUGGUUAUAACCUCUUCUUAUCCCCUAUCUCCAACAAUGCCAUAGGUGUGAGCUGAGAGAGAAGCAUUGAUGCAGCAUGUAGGUCAAGGCCAACUGUUAACGUUUCAUACUUCUGCCCUGUGGACCUGCUGCUUACGCCUGAUCCCAAAUAUACCUGUCUCAUCCAACAAUUGAUUUAUUUUGUGCAUAUCUAAAUUUAUGACUUUAUCAAUCUGAUAAUGCCCAGGUCAUGAUUGGAAAGCUCUGGUUUAGAGUCAUCUGAUGUCCCGUGGCCAGGUAAUCAGUCUACCCAGUAGGAUGCCUAAAGCUGCCUUUUGAAUGGAGAGCAUUUAUCUGCUGCAGACAGCAUGGACUUGCUCCAGAAUUCUGAGAGGGUCUGUGCUGAGAAGUUCCCACUGGGGUCUGGCAGAGGCUUCACACAGCAUCCUUAUCUUUCUUCUGUCUCAUAGGAUCUGCUGGGUCAUGUGGCCUGGGUGGCAAGAGAGUUUAUAUUCCAGACUGAGUGUUUUGCAGAGCUCUUUAUUGCUCUGGACACCACUCAAAACUAGAAUCUUCUCUAAUAAAAGUGUUGGAGCUAUAUUUCCCAAUAUGACUGAUGCUGUCUCCAAAAUCCAAAGAGCCCUACGAAGGGCUACGUCUCUUUCAUAGUGGUAGGAAGUAUAAGGUGUAAUAACUUAUCUUUUAGCUUAGAAGAGGUUUUCCAAACAUGCCUCCAGAUAAUGGGACCCCUCUUACUGAUUUAAAAGGCCCCUCAGUGUGUGAGGGAUUUAUAACCCUCUACAACCUUUGACAUAAAGGUAUCUUUCCCAAGCAUAAAAAAGAGAAUUUGCCGUUUCCUGCUCACCAUGUCUAACAUAAUGUAUAGGGAAUCAGCAUGAUAUCCAUUUUCAUUACACCUUCAGGGACCGGGGACAAGAUGAGUGCGUGGGGUCACUGGAUCUACUGUCAGGUACUUGGGCCCUUGUCAACUGACCUCCAUAUGCCUCUCUCUAACAGGAAGACCAUGAUGGCAUUUUGCCCCUUAUUAGUAUCAGCUCAGUUUCUAUAGAUAAUAGCUAUUGAAAGAUCUGGGUGUUAUCCUCCAGAGGGCUCUUUGGGGAAGUAUUGGGGUAUAAUUACUGUAUAUACUUAAAUGAUGGCAUUGCAGAGUUGUUCAUCAAAGGGACAAAGCGCUCUGGACCUGAGCACUGACUCAGGUCUGAAAACUGGAUGAGGGUUCAUGAUUUUCCAUUACUGAAGGUUGCAUAAGCUUUCUUCUCACCCAGUUUUGAUCUCUUUUGAUUACAUAAGCCAAGCAAUACUAUCAAUGGCUGCCCAUCUGUCUCACUUCAUGCUUUUUUAAGUCAUCACCAUAGAACUCUGUACAUCAAGGCCUAAGUUGACAUUCUGGUGUUGCUUGCCAUUAUGGAAAUUGUGUCUUCCUUGGCCCUGAUGGUUGUGUUCUUCCACUAGAACUCUGAUAUUCCAGAAUCUUCUCAUCCUGUUGCUAUGGGGGAACCCAGUACAGCAGCUGUAGCCCUGGUCUACAGAAGUUCUGAGCCUCUCAGUAAUGGUGAUGCUUUCUUCCCUGGUACAGUCUAUACAUUAUUUUGGUGAAGGAAGUGCCCUCUAAGCCCUCUCAGGAAAUAUUUGAAGCUAGUAAGUUCUCCGGUCUUCUAACAUAAAUCCAUUCUAACAUGUCCACUCUCUUACUCUUCUGGCAGCUUUCUCAAGCUCUGCCAAGGAAGUUCUGGCAUCUUUGCCUCAUUUUACUGGUAAGAAAUUCAAGCAGUGUAAUGAGGACUGGCACUGGGUGUCCUUGCCAAGAUUUAGAUCCUGAGUCAUGGGAGAGGGCCCCUACAAUCAGUCAGUUCUCCCCUGUCCCACCUAUACUCCAGUCCCUCAGUCCAACACCCUCAAGGUCUCUUCCAAUGUAUGUUAUCUUCUUUAUUUGAUACAUGUCAUCCAGGCCCAUUUCCUCCCACAGCAGGGGCUGUACAUUCUCACUUAGGUCAUAAUAAACUUGACACUAACUAUUGGUGUAGGAUAGUUGAGGAGAGGUGAGGUUUGAAUUUUGAAGACAAGAAUUAUCUUGCAAGGAUUCGACCUCAUUGCUUUCUCCUGAAUUCUUGGAGUCAUCCUGGUAGUGAGUCUUCUCUCUCUCCUAGUGUCCUUGACAGGGAGGUAAAUCUUAUAUCCCAAGACAGCGCCAUUAAGUCAAGUCAGUUUAUAUUUCUGACCUCCUAGAUUAAGACCAUUAGAAACUAAUCUGGUGGUUACUCCCCUGGCUCCUGCUGGUGCAUGCUAGCUAAUUCUUGCAGCUUUGGGGUGGGUAAGCUGUCUUCUUCUUUAUCAAGCCCAUCAUGUCCCCAGAUGGGUUAUGUUGGGAUUUAACCCUGUUUAUUGGCCAAAGCCACAGAAAAAAGUAGAGGUAGCUUCUGAUGGGGGAAUCUGUUCCCUUGUGUGGAAGAGAAUCCUAUAGUAUCUUCCUGCUUGGAAAUGCUUCCAGCUUUUAACAGGGAAAGGCAGGCCACCAUUGUAGACUUUGAGGGUUAAGGAGACUUUAAAGAGCCAUUGUAGCUCUUUUUUGUAUCUUCAGGGAUAUUCAGCCAAAUGUCUUAUCCUGUGUUUUGGGUCCAAGAUUUUCUCAACCAGGGCCCUAAUCUUGGUAUAACAGACCUGUCUUGACUGAACAAUCUUUUUUGAAGCUCUGCAACAUUAACUCUCAGAUCCCGAGUUUUAUCCUAGGCUGUGUUUGCUUUCCUACUGCAGGACAAUUAUGUAUAUAUAAUUACCCUUAUUCUUCUGUAGGGGAUCAAUGGACCCUGGUGUAACCAGCCAGUCCCAUUGUCUUAUAUGCAUUGCUUUCUACAUACUUUUUAAAUGAUUCAAAUGUGUAAAUCAUUGAACUGGUGAAGGCUUUAUCCCCAAGUCGCCAUCAGUAAAAUUUUUAGCUACUGAGCCAUCAUCUUGUGCCAAGGUUUGUAUGAGCCUCACAUACCCUGUUGUGAUGGUUAGUUAGUAAUCAACAUGACUGGGCUAAGGGACACCCAGAUAGCUGGUAAAACAUUGCUUUGGAGAGUGUCUGUGAAGGUUUCUGGAAGAGACUAGUAAUUGAAUGAGUAAAGAUCUGCCCUCACCAGUGUGGGUGGGCAUCAUCCAAUCCACUGAGAGCUGGAAUAGAACAGAAAGGUGGAGGAGGGGUGAAUUCUCUCUCCCUUUUCUUGAGCUAGGAUAUCUGUCUUCUCCUGCCUUUCAACAUUUAGAACUCCUGGUUUUCUGGCCAGUGGAUUCUGGGACUAAUACUGGGCCUUCUGCUACCUUCUAGGCCUUCAGUCUUGGACAGAGAGUUAUACCAUCUACUCCCCUGGUUGUCAAGCCCUCUGACUGGUACAAAUUAUAACACUGGCUUUCCUGGCUCUCCAGCUUGCAGAGGGUAGAUUGGGGGACUUCCAGCCUCCAUAAAUGUGAGAGCCAAUUUCCAAAAUACAUCUCCUCUUGUAUAUAACCUAUUGGUUCUAUUUCUCUGGAGAACCCUAAUAUAUACACGAAUGGGAUAUUCUUGACCAGCUAGGUAGACACGUGUUUCAGUUCUUAAACCUCAUCUUAUCCCCUGCUGCCUCAGACCACUUUUGGCACCAAUUGAUUUAAUUUGGAUUCUCAAGCAGACUUUGAGACAAGGAUUUGGUGGCACUGGUUUAUUUGAAGGAUGAUUCCCAGCUUGACAAGUGAAUGAGGGAGUGAGAGAGGGACAGGAAGAAAGCCAGUAAAAAGUACAGAUAAUGAGCAGGUUAUCAAUCACGAGGUGAUUGAGGCUGAUCCCACUGAUGACCCUGAGAGACUGUAGAAGGCAGCUUGCAAUUAUCCCAUUAAAAGCAAGGGAGCUGGCAUAUUUAUCCACUAGCUCCCCCAUUGUCUUGGGCUUGCUCCUAGGGGUGUUGCCUUCCCUGCUUUUCUGACUGCCCAGCAUGCAGGCACAGAAGACUCUUACCCAGUGAGACACAGGAUCUUGAGGAGGAAGUCACCAGUGUGUAUGGAAAUUGUUCCCCAAAGCUGCACAUGACUUUCAGAACAAGAACACUGACUGUUCUGCUACAGUGAAUUUCAAGAUCAGUUGUUGGACUUUGAAGGGUUUGGAAUCAAUUUUCUCUGCAAUGAUGAGUACAAUACAUGUGAAAAUGCCAUUGUGUUAGGAUAGAAGCUGGCGUGGACAAAUAAGAUAUGGUUGAUAUGGUUUGUUAAGAACUAGUGUGAGCUGCCUGCUGAUUGGACAAGAACCUAGAACACGAAAACAGAUAAGCCUCUAAAAAUGUGAGAGCCUCAGUAGCAACUUGAAAAAUAGAUAUGACUCAUUAUAAUUUAGAAUGGGCCUAUGCAUCUGGAUCCCUGGGUAGAGCUUCUUGUGCAAUUCCAGUAUUGCUAAAUUAUAUGAUCAACUGGGGGGAGAACCUAAAGACAUCAAUAGAUCAAAUAAAUAUCUAAAGGGUGAUAUAUACUGGAAUCCUUUCUAUAGUCUUAGGCUCCAAAUGUGGAGGCAACACAUCACCUUAUAUGUGAAUCCAGAAAACUUGCCAUGUGUUCCUAAAAUGAGGGUGAUUGCAAUGCAGUUCCCAAAGUUCAUUAAUGGAAGAGAGCUGUUUUGUAAUAACAGGAGCAAAUCCCUUUGGAAGAUGGGUUUCUUGAUGUUUAGUCGAGAUUUACUUUUGUGACUUCAGGAUCAUGUAUGUAUAUGCUUUCUUAUUUUUGUGAACACUAUAUGUUUAGACACUUAUAGGAACUCCAGUUAUUGUUUCUUAUCCAAAUGACAUAGUUUUGCUCAUUUAAUCUUCCUUUUUAGAGCAGCCCUAUAAUUUCUUUAACUUUCUUUAUAAUUCUUUUUAACUUUAACUGUGAAAUCUUUCCAGCUUACUUAUAAAUACUUAGUAAUACUUGGGAUGUUCACCUCUUUUCUUUGUAAAAUAGAAGAAAAAAGAGGAAAUGCCAUUUGCUGUUAUUUUUGUCAUGUUUUUUUAUUAAAGUGACCACAAAUCCUUCACUUCACUGCAGCCACAUUCUUGUAAUGUGACAUUGCAGAUUUUCCCUUUAAAGGGCUAGUCUCUGUCCUCACCCUUUGAAUAUGGGUUAGUCAUGUGACUUCUUUGGCCAAAGGAAUAUUAGCAAACCUAAUGCAAACACAGACUUGAAAAAUACUUGCAUACGAGGGCUUGCCUUCUUGCUGGGUUUAGAACCCUGAGAGCUAACCUGCUAAAACAUGGAAAAGAAGUAGAGAGGCCUACACAAUGGCCUGCCAACCAUCAGAUGGAAGUGAAGCCCUCUAAGAUGAUUCAGUCACCAUCAAAUACACCAGCUUAUCCCAGAUGCAUGAGAAAGUCCAGUGAUGAUAAAAUGAACUUGCCCAGUUCAAAAGAACUGCCGAGCUGACUCACCGAUGAUGACUAAAUAGUAAAGAUUUUAAAAAGUUCUCAUGCCGUAUGACUUCUACUGCUAUAAAAUAAACCAUCCCCAAGUUUAGCAGCUUAACACAACAAACCUCUGUUUUCCCACAGUUUCUGUAGGUCAGGAGCCGGGCACAGCUUAUCUGGGUGCCUCUGACUUGAUCCUGAGGUCUAGGUGUUGGGCUGAGACGACAGUCAUCUCAAACCUCUGCUAGGGAAGAAUCCACUUCUAAGCUCACUGACUUGUCUUUUGGCAAACCUCAGGUCCUCACUGGCUGUUAAUAGAAGCUAUCAGUUUCUUGUCACAUGGGCCUCUCAACAGAGCUGCUCACAACAUGGCAGCUCAGUCCCCGCCAAGGUGAGACAUCCAAGUGGAAGCAAGUGAAAGAAGACCCAUAAGGCAGAAGCCAUAGUCUUUUUUAUAACCUAAUCUUAGAAUUGACAUUGUAUGACUUCUGCCACACUCUAUUUGUUAGAAGUGAGUUACUAAAUCCAGCCCACAUUCUAGGAGAGGGAAGUACACAAGGGCAUGAUAACAGGAGGCAGGGGUCAUUGGAAGUUAUUUUUGAGGUUUCCUACUUCACAUACUCUUAUAAAGAGAGCAAUUUUUCUGUAACUAUGGAAACAGAUAACCACCAUACCAAUUUUGAAUCCAUUUAAUAGAUCAACUACAACUUUCUCAUUAAACAUACUUUUGUAAGCCCAACCAUUCAGUAGGAGCCUCUUAUUUCUAUGGAAAAAUCAGUCAGGAGUGAAUUCACUCAAAUAGGCACCUCUGAGUGGGCCAGCUAAUCAACAGAAGUCUUGUCAAAGUAACCAUGAUUCAACAAGUGAUGUCAACUCACUUAUAACUCUGAAAAUCAACCAAACUUUGAAAUUCAUGUAUCCUCCAAGCCCUUUAUAAGAUCAGUAGUCUGCUGAUCUUUUUGUUUAUUUGAUUACCUUUUUGUUUAUUUGAUUUAUCAUCCUCUGAAAAUCUAGUAGAUGUUUUUAAGCUAAGUUUGGGUAGUAAGUCAUUAAGCAGCAAAGAAAGCUAACUUAACACGCUUUGGCAAAUAAUAGAUCUAUCACAAGUCAUUCUGUUUUUCAUCCUCAAAGGAGUAGGAUCCUGGCUUAUUUGACAUGAAAGUUGGAGACUGUAGAGGUUGUCAAUCAUUAAUGGAAAUGCUGGCUUGUAAAAGUGCUUGAGAGUCAAAGUUAUCAUGGUCAUGAAUUCAGAUUAAUUUGUGAUUCAGUACAUUUUACUGUGUCACUUGUAUUAAAGUCCAGAAUGACAGAUGUCUUAAAUGUUUUUGCAGGAGUCUUUUCUACUUGGCUUUUAAAUGCAUUCAGGAGGCUUGAUCUUUUCUCUUAAAAUACUGAAGAUGCUGGCGUUGAUCUUGUGAAGGCACAUACUCUCGCAUAACUGCAGAAUGAAUUCUGAGAAACUGGUAUUUGGAAGGCACAUUUUAAAAGCUCUGAUUUAUUAUUAUGGUGAAAUAAAGAUGAAUUAUUAAGAAA